AGUGAACGCUGGCGGCGUGCUUAACACAUGCAAGUCGAACGAGAACGGAUUAUAGCUUGCUAUAAUUGUCAGCUAAGUGGCGCACGGGUGAGUAAUGUAUAGGUAAUAUGCCUCUUACUAAGGGAUAACAAAUGGAAACGUUUGCUAAUACCUUAUACUCCUUAUUAACAGAAGUUAAUAAGGGAAAGAUUUAUUGGUAAGAGAUUAGCCUGUAUUGUAUCAGUUAGUUGGUGAGGUAAUGGCUUACCAAGACUAUGACACAUAACUGGUUUGAGAGGGUGAUCAGUAACACUGGAACUGAGACACGGUCCAGACUCCUACGGGAGGCAGCAGUGGGGAAUAUUGCACAAUGGACGAAAGUCUGAUGCAGCAACGCCGCGUGGAGGAUGACACAUUUCGGUGCGUAAACUCCUUUUAUAUGAGAAGAUAAUGACGGUAUUAUAUGAAUAAGCACCGGCUAACUCCGUGCCAGCAGCCGCCGUAA
rnacentral:rRNA from 1 species